rnacentral:rRNA from 1 species
UACGUAGGGUGCAAGCGUUAAUCGGAAUUACUGGGGCGUAAAGCGUGCGCAGGCGGUUUUGUAAGUCUGUCGUGAAAUCCCCGGGCUCAACCUGGGAAUUGCGAUGGAGACUGCAAGGCUAGAAUCUGGCAGAGGGGGGUAGAAUUCCACGUGUAGCAGUGAAAUGCGUAGAGAUGUGGAGGAACACCGAUGGCGAAGGCAGCCCCCUGGGUCAAGAUUGACGCUCAUGCACGAAAGCGUGGGGAGCAAACGAGGAUUA